UCAAUCAGUUUUAUUCUCUGCUUUUUUGUUUUUCUCACUUAAACCUCUUCUGUUCGGUACAUUAAUGAUCAAAUUCAGACUGUGGAGCCCAGAUGAGUUUCUCCCUUUGAUUUAACCCACUGAGAAAAAGUUGGUGCUUGAUGUUUGGCCAUAAACACCAGUUGAUUACUUGGCAUUUGUUUGCAUGAUUCUUCUGUUUUCUGCUAAUUGGUUUUAUUAAAUGUGUUUGGAUUCAGUCGUCAGUUGCAUAGUUUUGAAGCAACCAUUAAAAAAAGCUCUUUAAUCAAAGUGACAGAUUAUUCUGUGCUGACCUUUAGGCCCCAGCAGGAAUAUACAGCACAUCAUGUUUAGCUCUGUAUGACUCAGACAGCAUCUCUUGACUCAUCCAGAAAAUCAGAUUGUUGCUUAUGUGUAGGCAGUAAAUGAAGAAGUGGAUUUUUCCUCCUGAUACCAGAUAACCAGAUAUUCCUCCCUGGCAAUUAACUCAGAAUUAAUUAACUCAUAAAUAAUUAACAUAAUUUUCUUGUGUGAUGUCCAACACACACACAAAAAGUUCUUAUUAUUAGGAAGCUACUACUUCCAGUAGAGGAAGAAGUACAAAGAUCAUUUAGUAAAAGUACUAAAACCACAUAGUGAAAAUACUCAAAUACUAGGGAAAGUUCUGCAUUCAAAACCUCAAGUAAAAGUAUUAAAGUAUUACCAGCAAAAUCUACUUUAAAUAUAGAGUAAAAGUACUCAUAGUGCAGUGAAAUGCACCAAAAAGUCACCUUUUCAUGAGCUCAGAAAAAAGUGAUGCACAGGACUAAUAUAUAUUGGAUUUCACAUUAUGGUGUGUUUCAUAUAUAAUAAAAGUGCACCGUAUGCACACUGAUUAGAGGGGAAUAAUAAGAGAUGUGAGCACCAUUUGUUGUUAGAGUGAAUAAAACCAGUGUCUGAGUUCGCAGAUCAGAAUCAGAGGCAUUACAUACUGCAGGUUCAGCACGGUUCAACAAGAGCUACAUGCUGCAAAAACUUUUACGUGUCUCCCUAAAAUGCAUAAAAAUGCUCUUAAGACUUGUUUGUAUUUUUUGUAAUCAGUUUUGUGACGUAAGUUUAACCUCUGACAUUAUUUCGUCAAUUUAUGAGCAGAGACUGUAAACAGGUGCGUUAUUGUUAAAGUCCCAGUGGGAAUCAGCUCUGGCAGCCAACAUGACAUGUGUACACAGUGUUUUUUACAGGUACAAGUAUAUGCUUUUAUGCCCCGUUUUCACUGUUUAAUGUAAACUUAAUUGUUGCUGGUUGAAUCAAAAUGCUGUCUACCCGUGACAUGGUGGCUUCAAUAGCCUUAAUUUAAAGUACAGUUCAUUCUUCACCACAGUUGUACUAAGGAGGUUUUUUUUACAGUGUAUAAAAAUGUGUUUAUAUUACUUGCUGUGAUUUACUGCCUCAGGACAGAAGACUAAUGUGAGAGUAAAGUAAACAUAAGUUGUUUGCAAUGAUUGCUUAAACCUUUCCAUUAGACAUCUAGGCACAUUAAAAACAACUGUGAGGUAUUUUCUUGUGUUUGGAAAUCUGGCUCUAAAUUGCUGUUGACAACAAGAAACAAACACAUUUGAAAUGCGAGUUAUAUUUAAUGAGUAAUUCAGUGACAUUGAUCAAGUGUAAACCACAGUUAGCACAGUCCGGCCUUGUAGUUAGAACCAGGCUACUAAAUGAACUCACUGUGCUGUCACCUGUUCGUACAUUCUGGCUUUAAAGACCCAGCAUUGAAAAACAAAAACAAUAUAAAAUAACAUCACAUGAACACUAAAACAAUUCUACUGUAGCUUUGCUCUCUGAGGCAAAUACAUCCGUUGACGCAAGUGAGAAUGUGAUCGCACUGAUAAGCUAAGAGAGGAAAAAAACAAACAUCUGUGCUGUGGUUUCAGAGCAUCAAAAACAAAGCACAGCGUUUGCAGUGCAUGAAGCUGAACCCAGCUCAGCUUCUGACUGCAUCUCACAGCUCCUCAGCUACAGUUUCUAUUAGCAGACAGUUGAAGGGAACUCAUAUCACAGACAAUAGAUAUCUAACAUUUCUGCGUUGCGUCUAGUUUUGGGUUGACCAGAGUACAUUCAGAGAAACAUCCUUUUUGCCUAGCACCAAUCUUUGAAAACCACUACUCCUAAAUAACUUUCUAAUUUCCUCUUCUAUAUUACAGCUCACAGGAAGUCCAGCUAUGUGUCAACAUGAAGCUGCAGUCUCCAGUCCAGCUUUAUACCAGAGACGCCGGUCGGCCACAGAGGAUCAAUUAAAGACGUCUCCUUCCUGUGAGGCUAUUAGGCGAGACUCCCCGUGAUGCAAAGUGAAGAAGGAUUCUGGCUUCAGUCCUUUCUGUUCCAGGGCCUCUCUGAGACGAGCCGGUGGCUCCAGGUAGAACUGCAUGAAGGAGGGACACGGGACAAAAACAUAACAGCGUGUCGGACCUCUGCAGAGCUCCAGCUUUUAUGUCUCUCUCUGAAAGCAGGAACACAGAGCAACUCUUCGGGCCACAGUAAUGGAAUAUGAAUGCGAGAGCAAAGGUUCCCCAGUGAAUGGCCACGGACUGUUUGGCCUGAAGGUCUUGGUGAAUCUGAACAGCCUCUUCUGGAUCAACAUGCUGCCCCUGCAUCAUAUCCCUGAAAAACAAAGGCUUGUUACUUUUCUGACUCUGUGUGGCCACUCUGAUAUACCUGUAUGAUCAACUGCCAUAACUUCUAUCACAGAGAGACAGAGAGACACAGACAGACAAACCUGGGCAGGUAAGCUCCAAUGGGGAUCGCUGCAAGGUCAAAUGGUCCAAAGCGUCGUCCGAUCUCCUGGAAGGAGGAGCAGUAGCCGGUGUCGCCAGCGAAGAAGAAUCGAUGGUCCGGACCCAAAACAGACCAGCUGCCCCAUAAAGACUGGAAAAAUAAAAAUAAAUAAAGAGCUGUAUUCAUGUACUGAAUGUGGUUUGAACUCCAAAUAAAAACUGUUUAC